rnacentral:rRNA from 1 species
GAGUUUGAUCCUGGCUCAGGAUGAACGCUGGCGGCGUGCCUAACACAUGCAAGUCGAACGAGAAGCUAACUUCUGAUUCCUUCGGGAUGAUGAGGUUGGUAGAAAGUGGCGAACGGGUGAGUAACGCGUGGGUAAUCUACCCUGUUUAGUGGGGGAUAACCCUCCGAAAGGAGGGCUAAUACCGCAUAAGGUCUUUACCUCUUAAGAAGUAAAGAUUAAAGAUGGCCUCUAUACUAUGCUAUCGCUUCAGGAUGAGCCUGCGUCCUAUUAGUUAGUUGGUGGGGUAAUGGCCUACCAAGACCACAAUGGGUAGCCGGUCUGAGAGGAUGUACGGCCACACUGGGACUGAGAUACGGCCCAGACUCCUACGGGAGGCAGCAGUGGGGAAUAUUGCGCAAUGGGGGAAACCCUGACGCAGCGACGCCGCGUGGAUGAUGAAGGCCUUUGGGUUGUAAAAUCCUGUUCUGGGGGAAGAAAGCUUAAGGGUCCAAUAAACCCUUAAGCCUGACGGUACCCCAAGAGAAAGCUCCGGCUAAUUAUAGUACCCAGCAGCCGCGGUAAUACG